UACGUAGGUGGCGAGCGUUAUCCGGAAUCAUUGGGCGUAAAGGGUGCGUAGGUGGCAGAAUAAGUCUGAAGUAAAAGGCUGCAGCUCAACUGCAGUAUGCUUUGGAAACUGUUCAGCUAGAGUGCGGAAGAGGGCGAUGGAAUUCCAUGUGUAGCGGUAAAAUGCGUAGAUAUAUGGAGGAACACCAGUGGCGAAGGCGGUCGCCUGGUCCGUAACUGACACUGAGGCACGAAAGCGUGGGGAGCAAAUAGGAUUAGA
rnacentral:rRNA from 1 species